AAACUGAGGCGAAAAUCCUGAGGCGAACACGUUUUCUAGUGGAAAAGGGCUCCGCAGGUGCUAUAGACGCUUUCUCUGGGCUAGACCCGGGAGACCAGCCCUCCUGCUUGGACCUGGCCCUCAAGAGGGCUCCGUCUUAAUGAGCUUCCCCACCCUCCUCAUCAUAAAGGGCCUCAGGGUUAAAAUAUUUGUGUGACACACUGGGUAAGUUAAAAAGAGUUAAAGACUUGGUAUUUGGGGAAAAAUUCAUUUUCUUUCU
rnacentral:lncRNA from 1 species